UGAAAAACGUUAUCUUUUUCCAAGCUGGCUUUUUUUUUUUUUUUUACCUUUUAGAUUUAUGUUUUGCAUUUACAUUUCAAUAUGAAUGGGACUUCAUCCAAUUUAUACCGCAGCAGAAGCUGAAAGUAGCAGGUAAGACUGGCUACGAGUGAAGCAGUGAGAGUCCCUAUGAGGGAGGAGUGCAUGUGGCAGUGGAAGUCGUGGAACUGAUUGUGAUGCCUUGACCCCAGUUGUAAAGGAUACAACUCAGAAGUCAUUGGACUGGACAUGGGGGCUGGAAGGCUGCUCCUUGAUCAGCAUAGCUGGUUGGCUUGGUCUUCGGUCUCGUGCCAUAAACUCUUCAAUAACCUUCAGCAUUUAAUUCAGGAUUCCGUAUUCCACAGCAAGGCAACACGCAUGCUGGACUGCUCGUCUACCUGCAGUAAGUGCCUCCUUUUGCCU
rnacentral:lncRNA from 1 species